UUAGAGACUAAAGCAAAUUUACAUUAGGAAGAAUAUGGCGGAGGAACCGGUGUUGGGUUGUGCUUUUGAGUGUAAGAGAUUUUGUGCGGAGCAACCAAGGUUGGGUGGUGCAUUGUGGGCCGAAAAAAUUAACGUUCCAAAGUUCCUAAGUGGGGAGAGAGAGACGGAGAGAGAGAGAGAGAGAGAGAGAGGCUUGAGAGAGAGAGGAAAAGAAGGAAAGACGUAAGAGAAAAAG